UCCUUUCUCAAACGAGAGAAAAAACGGGGGAAAAUCCAAACCAGGGAUACCCUCCAGAAACCCUAAUCCUAGCUCUCCAUCUAGGGUUUGAAAUCUUUAUUAUCAGCACUGAAAUCUCUCCUUCAAGAGGAUUUUUGUAUUCGAUUGAGUGCCUGGAUUUAAGAGAAAUCCUUCCUCAUCUCAGAUCGUUUCAAAGCUCUCUGAUCGUUCGAUACAUCGGAUUUCAUCCCGGAGAAAUCCGAUCUGUAAUCUCGGUCCGUAUCAGUUUGCUAAGCAAUCUGCUGAUGCUCGACGUCAUAUAAGAUUUGAUUUCUCAGCUAGUGGCCUUGUCUUCAUCGGGUUGUGGAAUUUGGAUCCUGAAAGGCUGUGAUUUUCUUAUCGGAGGCUUCGUCUUCGUCAGAUCGUGGCAGAUUCCUCCUUUUUGAAGGUUUUUUAUCAAAUCGGUUUGAAAGCAGACAUUCAAAGCACUAAUCUUGUUUGAUCUCUUAUCAAUUUGGAGCGAUUGUGUACUGGAUGUUCGAUGAAAUGGGAUUUUGAGGCUUUUGAAUUGUGAUGCAUACCAGAUGUUCAAUAAAAUGCCAAAGGGAGACAUGCAUGGGAUGUGUACUGGAUGUUCAACGAAAUGGGAUCUGAGGCUUUUGAAUUGUGAUGCGUACCCGAUGUUCAAUGAAAUGCCAAAGGGAGACAUUCAUGCCAGAUGUUUGAUAUGAUAACUAAUAGAAACUUGGUAUUUUCUUGUUGUUUGUGCUCCAUGUGAUUCCAACUCCAUACCAAGGAAAGAACAAUUAGCAUGUUAUUUUUUAGUGGUAUUGGACAUUUUAAUUGCGACCUUGCUUUGCAUCCUCUAAUGCUUUUAUUUACUUUUCAGUGCAGGGAUAUGUGUGCUCAACAUGGCAAAAUAGGCAUUUUCAAUAACGAUUGGAAAGAUUGAUGUAAGUUGAAGCAAGGGGUUCUGGCAUAAGAUGAGAAUUGGAUGGGAAGGCAUUGUCAUAGAGAGCUGGAGAAUCUACACCAGGCUAUGUCAUGAUUGGAGUAAUACCUUGGUUAGUAUUGACAGCACGAGUGAGCAAGUUCCUUUGUCAGAGGCAAGCAAAAUCCCUGCAUUUCUUCCACUCAUAGGCGUUGGAGAUCUGCGAACUGCAUCAUUAAUUAGUAAUUGGUGACAUACUUAUUAGCCAUAGAUGGGAGAGGUAAUUUCUUACUAUUUUAACCAUUUGUUUUAUUGGUUUUGUUUUAUGUUAUGAGAGAAGCUUGUAAAUAUGCUUUUGAAUUUUGUUCACACAUAUACGGUAAGGGGCAUGUU